UUCUUCUGUUGAGGACACCAGGACUGCAGCCAGUGCUUCAAGUGGGGUCUCAGGAGAGCAGAGCAGAGGGGCAGGAUCCCCUCCUUUGAUCUGCUGGUCAUGCUGUAUCAUGUCAACUGCAACCAAGACCCAUGUUACAAUUAUAUGCAGGGUUCACUUAGAAGGAGUAUAAAUGAUUUUCUCUAUUUUACACAAUUCUAAAUAACGAGAUGAGAAACCUUGUUUUAAUUUCCCUUUUCCAAUAUAAAUUUAUAGUUAAGGUCCUCCUUAUACAAAAGCUUUUUCUUAAGUAUUGUUAAAUCAAAUACUUUCAAAGCUGGAACACUAUAAUUGCUCCCUCAGGAUAUGUUAAAUUAGGUUUUGAGAAGACAUAAAAGGCUGGACUGGGGGGGAAGGUGGGAGUAAAGGAAUGUUGGGAUCUCUUUCCUGUUUUCCCAGUGACUUACUGGGUGAUGUUACAUGGGUCCCCUCUGUACUUCGUGCCUCAGUUUGUAAGAGGAGACCAGUUCCCUCAUUCAAGGGGCUUAGUGUGGAACUGUUUAGUAGCAGUCUGACUUGAAACUGUAAAGAAUGACUUUAUUCUUUGCUCAUCAGUUCCAACUUGAAUAUCUUGAGAUGCAUUUCAUGCUUCAACCUGUAGAGACAGUAAAUUCUUAUAAAGCCUUUAGAGAAAACGUCCUUGUUCUAUGAUUAGCUCUGAUUUGCUCCUUACCUGCAGACAUAACUCUGCUUUGCUUCACUGAGCUCAGGAGCAGGUGAACAGAUUGGUUUCAUCUCUCUUUGCCUUGUUGCAGGUGUCAAGCACAUCCUCUCCUGGACCUUCUGGUGACCAAAAUGAUCUCCUCUCCAGAAUGUCUCACCUGGAGGUAGAAAACCAAAACCUACGUAGUGUUGUUUCAGACCUUCAGAUGGCCAUCUUCAAACUGGAAAGCCGCCUGAAUGCUCUGGAGAAGUCCUCUACCUCCCACCAGCCCUCACCAGUUCCUCCAACCCAGGUGAGCCUCAGCAAAGCGCUGUUCAUAGGAUCAUGGAAUGGUUUGGGUUGAAGGGAGCUUAAAGCUCAUCCAGCUUCAAUCCCUGCCACGAGCAGGGACCCCUUCCACUGGAGCAAGGUGCUCCAAGCCCCUGUGUCCAACCUGGCCUUGAACACUGCCAGGGAUGGGGCAGCCACAGCUUCUCUGGGCACCCUGUGCCAGCGCCUCAGCA
rnacentral:lncRNA from 14 species